GGAUCAAUGAUGAUUCCUAAUCAAACAUUCCUUGGAAAGCUGAAUAAAAUGAAUGAAAACUCAUUACCACCUGUCUCAUUACGAAUGAGGUCU